ACAUAAGUUCUACUGUGUUUGUUUAUCGUGGAUACAAGUGAUAAUAACUCGAUUACAAUAUACUAUCAAAAUGUUCGUGGGCUCCGAACUAAGUCAGGAGACUUUUACCGACAGUGUUAUCAACGACAACAUUUCUAAUACGGAUUGGCACAAAUAAUUUGAAAACAGAACAUUAGAUCACUCCGUAGACUUUUUCUACAACUUUAUCUCUAACUUACAUAGAACAUAUGUACCUGCAAAACAAAUUAAACCCAG